rnacentral:rRNA from 1 species
GAGUUUGAUCCUGGCUCAGAAUCAACGCUGGCGGCGUGCCUAACACAUGCAAGUCGAACGCGAAAGCCCCGCAAGGGGCAAGUAGAGUGGCAAACGGGUGAGUAACGCGUGGGCGACCUACCUUCGAGUGGGGGAUAACCUUCCGAAAGGAGGGCUAAUACCGCAUGACAUCCCAUGUUUGGAUACAUGGACAUCAAAGCCGGGGAUCGCAAGACCUGGCGCUUGAAGAGGGGCCUGCGUCCGAUUAGCUAGUUGGUGGGGUCACGGCCCACCAAGGCGACGAUCGGUAUCCGGCCUGAGAGGGCGGACGGACACACUGGAACUGAGACACGGUCCAGACUCCUACGGGAGGCAGCAGUGGGGAAUUGUUCGCAAUGGCGCAAGCCUGACGACGCAACGCCGCGUGGAGGAUGAAGACUUUCGGGUCGUAAACUCCUUUCGACCGAGAUGAAUUCCUGCCGGCCUAACAUGCCGGCAGGGUGACAGUAUCGAGGGAAGAA